rnacentral:lncRNA from 1 species
AUUUUUUAUUUAAAAGGCACGGAUGAGCCCUUUCCAUUCUCUCUUCCUCUUUCCCCUCACUGGUAACAGAGCACUCCAAGGUUCUAGGGGAGAUUGGACCCCAAAGUUGGAAGAAUCUGGGCACCUGAGUCACCUGAUGGAGGAGCUCCAACUGCCAACCGGGGGCCCCUAUAUGGACGUGUCACCCAGUGAGAAGGGAGCCUUCCAUUGUGACAAACUGCACCCCAUCCUGGGUAAAAUCGGAGACGUAUACAGGGCAGGGAGAAGCUGUUUAUUUCCGUGCCUGAGGUUGGAGCUUGUUAAGGAUUUGAGCUGUGAUGCUGGCACCUGGCAGACCACAUCCUGUGCGGUUUUCAGUUUUGCUCCGUUCCUGACCCUGGUAUAGCAGAAGCUUUUUCACACCUAUGACACCCGCUAUGUCUUGGUGAACCCUGGAAGGGAAAGGAGGACAAGGUUAAAAUACUGUUCCGAGGAACUGGUCUCUCCACAGCACAGGCUGGAGGUGGCAGCCCGUGGAAAGCCAAGUUCAUUCACCAUCAGAGCCCAGGCCAGGCUGCCAAGGCUAAUAUUCAGGACAAAGCCAGGCACAGGUCGGGAAUCCUAUGAAGAUGAUCAUC